GGUGGGCUCUGUUCGGAUCCCGCCGGUCUCCAGGCACUGUCCUCCGCUGCCCGCGGGCAGCUGUGAGGGGAGGGAAGCGGAGGGGACUCUCUUCCCUCGGGGCUACCCGGCGGAAGGAUCGCGCGGAGGUAGAACCGCAAGAAGCGGGCACGCUGUCUGGCGGUUCCACUGACACAGAUGGCCUCAAGUACCAGGGAAGCUGAGAUAUCUUCUCACAGCGCCAUUUACUCCUUUUGUCCUCUCACCUUAAGAACCGGACAGCUAAACUUGUGAGCGUUCAAAUCUUUUGUAAUGAUCAUGUUCACCGACGCUCUUUUGGACAGAAGAAAGGUUGUGGAUGUUACAGAAGUGACAUCCAUCCUUGCUUGCUGAAAAUCACCUGCCACCUCACCUGGAUACAGCUGUCUUUCGCUCCGAGUCCUUGCUAUCAGGGCCUGGCUUUUCUUCCACGGAAGGAGAUGGGAGCUUUGCCACGCCUCCAGUGACAGCAUGAGGAGAGCAGACACAGGUUAGGCAAGGUGUGCGAGGAUUUUCUGCAUGCUCUGUAAGUAUUUAGGGAACCGUGUGAUAUGUGAUCCUAAAGAUGAGGUUAGGCAGUUUGAACUUUUGAGUUAGACCCAGAUUACGUCCAGACAGGCAAAGCUAUCUUCUGACUGUACAUCUAAAUUAUUUCUUCUGGCAAGUAUCAGGAGUAUGUUAGUGAAAUGUGCCUGGAUAUAAUAGCUUAAGAUAGAGCUAUGCUGGAAAUGUUCCUGCAGCUGUUCCUUGGAAAACAUCUGUGGUACUGUGCAUGGAAAUUUGUACAUCUCUGUUCAUGCUAGCACAGAGCAAUUAAUCUCGUGGAACAAAGUAUAAAUUAUUAUCGGGAAAUAUGAGAAGGACAUUAUGCACCAGUGGACAUGAGAUGACUAAGGGUAGUUACCAUUUGGAAACAAAGGGAAAAAAUUGAAUAUUCCAUUUCUGGCAUGGGAAAUAAGAGGAAGAUUGGCAGACUCUACAGGACUUCCAGAACUCUGAUUGCUAGUUAUUUAUGUAAGAAUAACCAAUCCACAGAAUUUCACCCCUAGGGAGGAGUGAAAUUUUUUACACUUACAAUUGGAAAAAACCUUCCAUCUGUGAUAAUUUGACAGUCUGUGUUUGUAUAGUUUGAUAAAGGGAAGAAUAUACAGGUUGACAUGAUUUCUUAUUUAGAGAUAAUGGUUAUCCCUAUGCAAAGUAGAAAAGGCAUUGCCCUGGAGAACUCAAUUUUAGCUAAAGACAUACAAGGAGGGUAACUUAAAAAGCCCUGGGAUGGGACAGAGAGAUGUAUUUUGUUCACAGCAAGUUACAUAAUUCAGGUAUUUCUGAUCUCUUGAGGCUUUCAACUAAAGCCUGGGUCAUUAGAAGGUCUGCUUACCGAAAUGUAAUGGCCUGUUGUAUUUGAGAACUCAGGCUGGAUAAUCUGAAAAGUGAGUGUGUAAGGAAUUGAGAGCAGCACGAUGAGGAACAAGCUAGGGUAGAUAUCUGACUGCCGGCCAGCAAUUUGUCACUGACUGCUCCUGAGGCAGGGUUGCUGCUAAGAGCUGAUGAGGCUGUUAUGUUGCACUUAUGUUGCAUGUGUGACCUGUCAUGUCAUCUCCCAACGGCUAGGGAUGAUCUCCGUGGUACAGAACAUCCAUACUUGGCCAUUUUACUUGUUUUCUUUCAUGAUACUUGCAUUGCAUGAUGAAAAUCAGAAAUCAAGAUGGAAGUAUCUUCCUGUUGUUGUGUGGAUGCUUUCUGCAAAGGGUCUUCUGGCCUCUUGGUGUUUAAUCCAAAUUAUAUAAAAUGGAUUUGCACCCUGUUAAAUCUGAAAAUAAAUUUAAAAUAACCAUUCACAGUCCUCA
rnacentral:lncRNA from 1 species